rnacentral:rRNA from 1 species
GAUGAACGCUAGCGGGAGGCUUAACACAUGCAAGUCGAGGGGCAUCACGGGUAGCAAUACCUGGUGGCGACCGGCAGACGGGUGAGUAACGCGUAUGUAACCUACCCUGUACAGGGGGAUAACCCGGAGAAAUUCGGACUAAUAUCCCAUAAUGAUAUCUGGGGGCAUCUUCGGAUAUUUAAAGUUCCGGCGGUACAGGAUGGGCAUGCGUAACAUUAGCUAGUUGGUAAGGUAACGGCUUACCAAGGCUUUGAUGUUUAGGGGUCCUGAGAGGGUGGUCCCCCACACUGGUACUGAGACACGGACCAGACUCCUACGGGAGGCAGCAGUGAGGAAUAUUGGUCAAUGGGCGCAAGCCUGAACCAGCCAUCCCGCGUGCAGGAAGACGGCCCUAUGGGUUGUAAACUGCUUUUCCAGGGAGAGAAACUUGCGUACGCGUUGCGCAAUUGACGGUACCCUGGGAAUAAGCAUCGGCCAACUCCGUG